rnacentral:tRNA from 1 species
GCCUUUGUAGCUCAGUUGGUAGAGCAGGGGACUGAAAAUCCCCGUGUCGAUGGUUCGAUUCCGUCCGAAGGCACCA